ensembl:lncRNA
GGCAAGCCACCGAGGCCAGGCAGUGAUGGUGAGCAUCAUGAGAUGAGCAUCCUUUCCCCGAAUAUCAGUGCGCACUAAUUUUGCUCAGCUGCAGAUCAAAUUGCCUCUCGAGACCUACCACCACCCAGCCGGCUGCGCCCAAAAGAGCUACAAAGGAUGUCUACUGGUAACAGCAGCAGGGGAACAGCGGAGAAGGAUGGUACAGUAGCUGGCGUGAACAAGACAGUGGCAUCCGAGCCGAGCUAAGCGUAUUUCGACUGCACAGUGUCUGAGCGCCGGGAAAUUACACCCCCUAAUUUGUCUUUUCGACUGGAACAACGACGUUCACUUCUAACGCUAUUUGGAUACAUUUUUGCACCCUUCAUCCUUGGAUAGUGAACUACAGAACACAUCCUUGGCCAGCUCACGGCCACCAUUCACGCCCAAACCACAGAAUGACAGUGUUCACUCCUCCCAACCGAGCCAAAUAAAGACUUCCCAUCCUACUAAAGCCCCAUCUCAUCUCUCCAGUACUGUACCCCUGACCACAUCCACACAGACAGAGCAAACGUUGCCCAGGGACACAGUGGAACUGGUAGCCCCCGUCGGCCCAGAGCCCCAAACUGUGGCGAGAAGGAACCAGACCCCCAAAGCCGUCACCCUCCCAGUAACCCAGGUCGUGUCACUUUCAACCAUCAUCAACGGCAGCCGUAUGUAUGAAAUAGUUGGCUUUGGAUGGUGACUAACCUUACCAUAAUGUUACUAUUUACUUUUAGAGAAGGCCUACUAAAGAUAAAUAUAUAUCAGAUAAAUGAUCAGUCACAGCUCUGAUGUACCAUAAAACAGACUGAUAUGAAUACAAAUACUACACACUGUGUGUGGUUAAUGUAAAAGUGUAUUUUCAAACUAAUAGAUGCUGCAAACCUAAACUUAAAAGCAAAUGUUGUUAGUGCUUGUGUGUGUAUGGUGAUUGGCUACGUGGCUGGGUGCAAAUGCAUAUGAGUAAAUAUUAAUGACUCUAGACUUCUUCUGGCUGGGAGGGAUAUUGAAGAAGCGUUUGGAUUUGGAGUUCUCCUCGUUCCAUCUGACUGGCUGCUCUCUUCUGUACUUUGUCGAUAGACACCUUAUCUGACGUACUUGCAGAGCCCCCUUCCUUCUGGCUGGCUGUUGACUUCAGUCUGCUGCUUCCGAGGGCGGGUUUCACCUCGCCGCAGCUUGAGGAUCACUUUAGGCCUCUGCAGUUUGCUCCAUUUCUUUUCCAGGUCCUUUCUUUUUAUUUAUCCAUUUUUUUUCUUCCAAUCUUUUCAUUUCUUUCUUUGUUAUGUUGUUCAGCUGCUUCUCUGUCAGUGGGAAGGAAAUGUGGCCAGGCACCUGACAGGCACUGCCUUCCACAUGCUGCACAGCACUCUGGGACAGGACUGGACACUGUGAGGCCCGCUGGGAUAGCUUAGGACAUGACACAGCCAUCUGAGAUGAGCCUAGACAACCAACCUUCCUCAGGAUCAUCCUGAUUUCAUUGGGGUUGAUGGGGUCAACAAGCAGGAUGGACUAAUAUAGGACUUUAGCCUUUUGGGGCUUUGACGGGUGGUGCAGGUCACCAGUAGCACUGUGAGCGGCUUUGCCCUUUGAGCCAAGAGAGGGAGCUGUGACCAGGCUUUUCCCCUUGGAGACCAGAUUUGACAUGUAGGCCACUGUCACGUUGGACCCAGUGAUUCUCCUCUGACUUAAAUAUAUGAAAUGUGGGGAAAAUGCUUAUUUCAGUUUACAAGCUGAAUUUAAACUAUUUCUUAUAGCUACAAUACAUACUGUUUGCUUGACAUAGAAAGACUGUGAGGACUUAUGGGUUAUACCUAAUGAACAUUAGAACAUGUUUUAACAGAAUUGCUUUCAGGCCAAGCCAGCCUACUUUAACAUAAUCUUUGGGCAGUACUUUAAAAUAAACUAUGUCAAAAACUGAAAAAAAUAGAUGCUAGAACAAAACUUCCCAAUGAAAGAGGGCAACAGAGAAGCGGCCAUUUCCAUCGUGGUGUGUAUAUUCUACUUCUAAACGCCUUAUAAAUGAACAAUUACUGUAUUAUUGAAAACAAAAUGAGCUAUCUGUUUCAGAUAUCAUGUAAUUGAAUAGUUUGCAAAUAAUACUAUAUAGCUGGGGUGGCAGGUAGCCUAGUGGUUAAGAGCGUUGGGCCAGUAACCGAGUCCCAGAGCCGACUAGGUGAAAAAUCUGUCGAUGUGCCCUUGAGCAAGGCACUUAACCCUAGUUGUUCCUGUAUUUCGCUCUGGAUAAGAGUGUCUCCUAAAUUACUAAAAUGUAAAUGUAAGACAAUAUUCAUUCAAUCGAGAAAUGGUUUUUGCAUCAGUGUGUUCUUUCUUUUCCAAGUUUGUAACAACCUCAAUAAAUAAUUUGUUUUUAGCUGACAGUCCCCCAAAAAUGAGAAAUGGAAAGGAGAAAUGUUCCUCUGUGGAUGUUGAGAUGCUGCUGGACAUGGUGUUGAUGAAUCAGUAGAGGGCAGUCUUCCUCUUGUCACCAGUAGUAGUAUCAGACAGAUGAAUAAACAUUACAGAUCAAGGAGUUUAGUCUAAUAUCAAAUACUGGACUAAGAGCAAUUAGGGCAUGCACACUCAAAUAGCAACUCACUGCCUUCCUGAAGACAAACAAUGUAUACGAAAUGCUUCAGUCUGGUUUUAGACCCCAUCAUAGCACUGAGACGGCACUUGUGAAGGUGGUAAAUGACAUUUUAAUGGCAUCGGACCGAGGCUCUGCAUCUGUCCUCGUGCUCCUAGACCUUAGUGCCGCUUUUGAUACCA